GUUCAGUCUGGACUAUCACCUACAUCACUGACAUUGCCCUACUCUGGUGUUUCGUACACCAUACCAUGCAUGUCAAGUGGAAACUUUCCUCUCAACGUAUCUUGGAGCUUAACAUUAUCUCUGGACUCACAGAAGAUACAGACGCUGACAUAUACGAAUAUGGUGGAUUCUAUGUUCAGCUUCCGGAGGAAUGAUUCCCAGAUUAUGUUUACAGAAAGUGAUACAUCAGGUGUUACCUUUAAUGUAAUCUGUACAACAUCGUAUACUACAAACUUUGAUUGUAUUGGAAUGGGAUCAAGUCCUCAACGGCCACAAAGUGCGAUUGACAGAUGUGUGAAUUCCGCCAAGGCACUAUCUACCACUGUCUCUGUCACUAUUCAAGUGCAAUGUCCUACUCUCACUGACACCAAGUUCAAUUACAAACCUGUUGCCAGUUUCAACACACUACCAGGUACCACAGUAUCCAUCGAAUGCAUAACAGGUUUUUUGUCUAACAAUAGUAUGGAAAUAACCCAGUCUACAUGCCAGGGCAAUGGAAGGUGGCAACCAAGGCAACCUUUAUGUGAAAGGUGCAUUUUGGAAUGCAAUGACACUCACGUGGUGGAAUGUAAUCAUGUAGGGAGAAUGGCAGCUGUCAACUGUAUUUGUG